AGACUUCUGCAUCUUUAGGAUAUCCUAGUCCAACAUCGAGGUCACAACCCCCCUUUUCGAUUUGGUCUCUCAAAGGAGAUUAUGCUGUUAUCCCUGCGGUAACUAGUUCUUUUAAUCAGUUUUACACUGGAUCAGAACAAAUAUGSUUGAAUUAGUAUAUAGAGGAAGCUUCUUUUGUUCCUUGGUCGCCCCAACCAAAAAAAUUUARSGGUUGAUGUAUUUAGCAUAGAGUAUAGGUUGUUCCCGCUCGUUUUUUUAAGCUCGACAGGG
rnacentral:rRNA from 1 species